UACGUAGGGUGCGAGCGUUGUCCGGAAUUAUUGGGCGUAAAGAGCUCGUAGGCGGUUCGUCACGUCGGGUGUGAAAAUCCAGGGCUCAACCCUGGACCUGCAUCCGAUACGGGCGAACUAGAGUUCGGUAGGGGAGACUGGAAUUCCUGGUGUAGCGGUGAAAUGCGCAGAUAUCAGGAGGAACACCGGUGGCGAAGGCGGUUCUCUGGGCAUUACCUGACGCUGAGGAGCGAAAGCAUGGGGAGCGAACAGG
rnacentral:rRNA from 1 species